UCAAUAUCAUAAACACUACGGUGAUGUAUGCUUUUAUUCUGAAGUCAAUAUCAUAAACACUACAGUGAAGUAUGCUUUUAUUCUGAAGUCAAUAUCAUAAACACUACAGUGAUGUAUGCUUUUAUUCUGAAGUCAAUAUCAUAAACACUACAGUGAAGUAUGCUUUUAUUCUGAAGUCAAUAUCAUAAACACUACAGUGAAGUAUGCUUUUAUUCUGAAGUCAAUAUCAUAAACACUACAGUGAUGUACGCUUUUAUUCUGAAGUCAAUAUCAUAAACACUACAGUGAUGUAUGCUUUUAUUCUGAAGUCAAUAUCAUAAACACUACAGUGAAGUAUGCUUUUAUUCUGAAGUCAAUAUCAUAAACACUACAGUGAAGUAUGCUUUUAUUCUGAAGUCAAUAUCAUAAACACUAUGGUGACACAGUAUAUCUGGAUGUUCUGACAAGCUCAGCCAUUCAGGACAAUUCAACAAUGUUUUUUCAGUGUGUUAGUAAGCAACACAAGCAGCUCAGAGCUUUGGUUUAGUCCCAGCUACAGGUCCUGUUCUCUAGGUCUGUCCUCUGGGUGGAAGAGAGGGAUCAGGUAGUUCAGAGCUCUGGAUUAGUCUCAGCUACAGGUCCUGUUCUCUAGGUCUGUCCUCUGGGUGGAAGAGAGGGGUCAGGUAGUUCAGAGCUCUGGAUUAGUCCCAGCUACAGGUCCUGUUCUCUAGGUCUGUCCUCUGGGUGGAAGAGAGGGAUCAGGCAGUACAGAGCUCUGGAUUAGUCCCAGCUACAGGUCCUGUUCUCUAGGUCUGUCCUCUGGGUGGAAGAGAGGGAUCAGGUAGUUCAGAGCUCUGGAUUAGUCUCAGCUACAGGUCCUGUUCUCUAGGUCUGUCCUCUGGGUGGAAGAGAGGGGUCAGGUAGUUCAGAGCUCUGGAUUAGUCCCAGCUACAGGUCCUGUUCUCUAGGUCUGUCCUCUGGGUGGAAGAGAGGGAUCAGGCAGUACAGAGCUCUGGAUUAGUCCCAGCUACAGGUCCUGUUCUCUAGGUCUGUCCUCUGGGUGGAAGAGAGGGAUCAGGUAGUUCAGAGCUCUGGAUUAGUCUCAGCUACAGGUCCUGUUCUCUAGGUCUGUCCUCUCGGUGGAAGAGAGGGGUCAGGUAGUUCAGAGCUCUGGAUUAGUCCCAGCUACAGGUCCUGUUCUCUAGGUCUGUCCUCUGGGUGGAAGAGAGGGAUCAGGCAGUACAGAGCUCUGGAUUAGUCCCAGCUACAGGUCCUGUUCUCUAGGUCUGUCCUCUGGGUGGAAGAGAGGGAUCAGGUAGUUCAGAGCUCUGGAUUAGUCUCAGCUACAGGUCCUGUUCUCUAGGUCUGUCCUCUGGGUGGAAGAGAGGGAUCAGGUAGUUCAGAGCUCUGGAUUAGUCCCAGCUACAGGUCCUGUUCUCUAGGUCUGUCCUCUGGGUGGAAGAGAGGGAUCAGGCAGUUCAGAGCUCUGGAUUAGUCUCAGCUACAGGUCCUGUUCUCUAGGUCUGUCCUCUGGGUGGAAGAGAGGGAUCAGGUAGUUCAGAGCUCUGGAUUAGUCUCAGCUACAGGUCCUGUUCUCUAGGUCUGUCCUCUGGGUGGAAGAGAGGGAUCAGGCAGUUCAGAGCUCUGGAUUAGUCUCAGCUACAGGUCCUGUUCUCUAGGUCUGUCCUCUGGGUGGAAGAGAGGGAUCAGGUAGUUCAGAGCUCUGGUUUAGUCCCAGCUACAGGUCCUGUUCUCUAGGUCUGUCCUCUGGGUGGAAGAGAGGGAUCAGGUAGUUCAGAGCUCUGGUUUAGUCCCAGCUACAGGUCCUGUUCUCUAGGUCUGUCCUCUGGGUGGAAGAGAGGGAUCAGGCAGUUCAGAGCUCUGGAUUAGUCCCAGCUACAGGUCCUGUUCUCUAGGUCUGUCCUCUGGGUGGAAGAGAGGGAUCAGGCAGUUCAGAGCUCUGGAUUAGUCUCAGCUACAGGUCCUGUUCUCUAGGUCUGUCCUCUGGGUGGAAGAGAGGGAUCAGGUAGUUCAGAGCUCUGGAUUAGUCCCAGCUACAGGUCCUGUUCUCUAGGUCUGUCCUCUGGGUGGAAGAGAGGGAUCAGGCAGUUCAGAGCUCUGGAUUAGUCUCAGCUACAGGUCCUGUUCUCUAGGUCUGUCCUCUGGGUGGAAGAGAGGGAUCAGGCAGUUCAGAGCUCUGGAUUAGUCCCAGCUACAGGUCCUGUUCUCUAGGUCUGUCCUCUGGGUGGAAGAGAGGGAUCAGCGGUGAGAUGGAGAAACAGACAAAGGAUUGUGGUCUUGAGGGGACAUCUCUCUCUCUCUCUUCGCCAAUGGCAGACCAAAGGAGACACCUGUUUCUCCCUUCCUCCUUUUCUCUCUAUAUUC